GCCCAACCGUAAACUUUUAAUUACACCCCUAUCGCCUGGGAACUACGAGCAAAGCUUAAAACCCAAAGGACUUGACGGUACCCCACAUCCACCUAGAGGAGCCUGUCCUAUAAUCGAUAACCCCCGUUUAACCUCACCAUUUUUAGCAUAUCAGCCUGUAUACCUCCGUCGUCAGCUUACCACGUGAGCGACUCUUAGUGAGCUUAAUGCCCCUACGCCAACACGUCAGGUCAAGGUGCAGCAAAUAAAAUGGGAAGAGAUGGGCUACACUUUCUACUCUAGAAGAUACGAAAGACUAUUUAUGAAACCUAGUCAGAAGGCGGAUUUAGUAGUAAAAAGAGACAAGAGAGCUCUUUUUAACAUGGCACUGGGGUGUGUACACACCGCCCGUCACCCUCUUCAAAGCUGAUAAAAAGUUAAUAACAAAUUUUAGCGCUACAGAAGAGGCAAGUCGUAACAUGGUAAGUAUACCGGAAGGUGUGCUUGGAAA
rnacentral:rRNA from 1 species